GCCAUCAGAGCUCACCAACACGAUCUUUUGGGAAGACAUAUUGGUUUCGUCGAUCGUUUUGUGGUGUUUUUUUGGGUGAUGAAAAAAAAGAAUUGAUCUAUGAAUUAUGCAAAGAUGUGUGAAUGAAAGGAGUCGAAGAAGGUCUCUAUUUAUAAUGUUUAGGAGUCGGUUAAUCUCUUAAUUGUGAUUUCCUAUUCACAAUCGAAAAACAUGUAUAUCUUCCUUUAAUGAUGAUGAUGAUCAUGUAGAUGCAUCUGAGGAGACGAAGAAGAAGCUCAAGGAUUGCGACGAGGAGUUCAUGAAGAAUCUCGUUCUUGAUACGAUCUUUAACCUCAUUGAAGAUUAAAACCCUAGAAUUAUUCCAAAGCCUAGCUUUUUGUUUUGUUUCUUUUCUUUUUCUUUUCCAUUUCUUUUCCAAUAAAAUAUCUGUUUCUCAAGUAUGUGAUCAACUUUAUGGCUUAUGUUUCAUCUCCAUUCUAAGCUUAUAUCCGAUAGCUAUAUAAUCCCUGACCCUCCGGUGAAUGUAGCUUGAGGAAUCCCAUAACAUGAUUUGGUGAAUGAGUUAUAAGUUUUUGUUUAUCAAGUGUGUGAUCAACUUUUGGGUCUCUUUAAUUUCGUUGUUAAUUCUUUACUUAGAUAAUUGACUACA
rnacentral:lncRNA from 1 species